CCGGGAUGCGCCGCUCUGCUGUGCUGUGACGGGAGAGCCGCUUGAGGAUCCACUGCCUCCUGCUCGUUCCCGGCUCUCACUCAGUCCACUGCGGUAACAAAGGAGACACCGAGGGGGAUGAUGGGAGCGCACACGAGGGUUCUGUCAGAGCAGCGAUAGCACACCGGACCUGGGGCUGUAUUUGACGGAGAAACAGCUGUAGUUUGUGUUUGUUUUGCCUGUUCACGUUCACCUUCCUGAGGCUGACGUCAGAGGUUCCCAGGGGCCACACUUGUGUCUCCUCUGUGAUCCAAACACAGGGUUUUCUCGGAGCUAACGAUGCUGAUCUGCUAAAAUCACACACGGAUGAGAUAUUUGGACAGAUCUGAAUGAUUUUGACGUAAUCAUGUCUGAAGUGACCCCAGCCUGACCCCUCGUGUGGUCAGAGCAGCAGGUCAACGCAUCGCUGAACACGCCUGACCAUGUCCACCGUGGAUACGUGCCCCCGACCCCCCUCGCCCCGCCCGGAGACCCGCCCGAAGCCCCUGCGCCCCGACUCCCCUCCGCUGGGGGAGAGGGGCGCCCCCGUGAGGCGCUCUGGGGGAGUGGUCAAGAGCAUGGUGACCAAAUUCAGCAAACAGGACGAAGCCCCGAGCGCCGCGGUCUCCAAGAAGACGACGGGUAGAGCCGAGCCCAUCUACAGACGCAUCUCCAGGGCGCCCACGGUCAAACCCAAACCGGGACGGCUCAGUCUGCCGCUCCUGCCCCCGCCCCUGCCCAUGAAGAGAAACAAAGUCCUCAGAAAACAACAAAGUCUGACGGGAAACGAGGUGGAGAGCGGCUCUGCGGAACGGGGACGAUCAGACCCUGAUGGUAAAGAGGUGGAGCCACGAGCGUUUAAAGGCGGAGACGACGACUCGGAGCACGGCGUGGACGUCCUGGUCAGUCCCUGCGCUGACCCCUGCUGUACCUGCGUGUGCCACCUGCAGCGGCCCGGCAUGAUGCUCGUGUGGGUCCCUAUAGACUCAGGG
ensembl:lncRNA